GAUGAAGAACGUAGCGAAAUGCGAUACGUAAUGUGAAUUGCAAAUUCAGUGAAUCAUCGAGUCUUUGAACGCACAUUGCGCCCCCUGGUAUUCCGGGGGGCAUGCCUGUCCGAGCGUCAUUGCUGCCCUCAAGCACGGCUUGUGUGUUGGGCCCCGUCCUCCGAUCCCGGGGGACGGGCCCGAAAGGCAGCGGCGGCACCGCGUCCGGUCCUCGAGCGUAUGGGGCUUUGUCACCCGCUAUGUAGGCCCGGCCGGCGCCUGCCGAUCAACCCAAAUUUUUUAUCCAGGUUGACCUCGGAUCAGGUAGGGAUACCCGCUGAACUUAAGCAUAUCAAUAAGCGGAGGA
rnacentral:misc_RNA from 1 species